ACUCCUACGGGAGGCAGCAGUGAGGAAUAUUGGACAAUGGGGCGAACCCUGAUCCAGCCAUGCCGCGUGAGUGAUGACGGCCUUAGGGUUGUAAAGCUCUUUCGCUAGGGAAGAUAAUGACGGUACCUAGUAAAGAAGCCCCGGCUAACUUCGUGCCAGCAGCCGCGGUAAUACGAAGGGGGCUAGCGUUGUUCGGAAUCACUGGGGCGUAAAGCGCGCGUAGGCGGACUUUUAAGUCAGGGGUGAAAUCCCGAGGCUCAACCUCGGAACUGCCUUUUGAUACUGGAAGUCUUGAGUUCGAGAGAGGUGAGUGGAAUACCGAGUGUAGAGGUGAAAUUCGUAGAUAUUCGGUGGAACACCAGUGGCGAAGGCGGCUCACUGGCUCGAUACUGACGCUGAGGUGCGAAAAGCGUGGGGAGCAAACAGGAUUAGAUACCCUGGUAGUGACAA
rnacentral:rRNA from 1 species